AGGGCGCACGGUGGAUGCCUUGGCACUAGGAGCCGAUGAAGGACGGGACUAACACCGAUAUGCUUUGGGGAGCUGUAAGUAAGCUAUGAUCCAGAGAUUUCCGAAUGGGGGAACCCAAUAUCUUUUAUAGGAUAUUACUUUUCAGUGAAUACAUAGCUGAUUAGAGGUAGACGCAGAGAACUGAAACAUCUUAGUACCCGGAGGAAGAGAAAGAAAAAUCGAUUCCCUGAGUAGCGGCGAGCGAAACGGGAAGAGCCCAAACCAACAAGCUUGCUUGUUGGGGUUGUAGGACUCCAAUAUGGUAGUCUGUUAGUAUAGUUGAAGGAUUUGGAAAAUUCCGCUAAAGAGGGUGAAAGCCCCGUAGACGAAAUGCUGACAACACCUAGGAGGAUCCUGAGUACGGCGGAACACGAGAAAUUCCGUCGGAAUCCGCGGGGACCAUCCCGCAAGGCUAAAUACUCCCUAGUGACCGAUAGUGAACCAGUACCGUGAGGGAAAGGUGAAAAGUACCCCGGAAGGGGAGUGAAAGAGAACUUGAAACCGUGUGCUUACAAGUAGUCAGAGCCCGUUAAUGGGUGAUGGCGUGCCUUUUGUAGAAUGAACCGGCGAGUUACGAUCUGAUGCAAGGUUAAGCAGCAAAUGUGGAGCCGCAGCGAAAGCGAGUCUGAAUAGGGCGUUGAGUAUUUGGUCGUAGACCCGAAACCAGGUGAUCUACCCUUGGUCAGGUUGAAGUUCAGGUAACACUGAAUGGAGGACCGAACCGACUUACGUUGAAAAGUGAGCGGAUGAACUGAGGGUAGCGGAGAAAUUCCAAUCGAACUUGGAGAUAGCUGGUUCUCUCCGAAAUAGCUUUAGGGCUAGCCUCGGAAUUGAGAAUGAUGGAGGUAGAGCACUGUUUGGACUAGGGGCCCAUCUCGGGUUACCGAAUUCAGAUAAACUCCGAAUGCCAUUCAUUUAUAUCCGGGAGUCAGACUGCGAGUGAUAAGAUCCGUAGUCGAAAGGGAAACAGCCCAGACCACCAGCUAAGGUCCCAAAAUAUAUGUUAAGUGGAAAAGGAUGUGGGGUUGCACAGACAACUAGGAUGUUGGCUUAGAAGCAGCCACCAUUUAAAGAGUGCGUAAUAGCUCACUAGUCGAGUGACCCUGCGCCGAAAAUGUACCGGGGCUAAACAUAUUACCGAAGCUGUGGACUACACCAUUAGGUGUAGUGGUAGGAGAGCGUUCUAAGGGCGUUGAAGGUCGAUCGUGAGGACGGCUGGAGCGCUUAGAAGUGAGAAUGCCGGUAUGAGUAGCGAAAGACAGGUGAGAAUCCUGUCCGCCGUAUGACUAAGGUUUCCUGGGGAAGGCUCGUCCGCCCAGGGUUAGUCGGGACCUAAGCCGAGGCCGAUAGGCGUAGGCGAUGGACAACAGGUUGAUAUUCCUGUACCAGUUGUUUUUGUUUGAGCAAUGGAGGGACGCAGUAGGCUAAGGAAUGCAUGCGAUUGGAAGUGCAUGUCCAAGCAAUGAGUCUUGAGUAGAGUUUAAUGCUUUACUCUUUAAGGACAAGUUGUGACGGGGAGCGAAAUAAUAGUAGCGAAGUUCCUGAUGUCACACUGCCAAGAAAAGCUUCUAGUGAGAAAACAACUGCCCGUACCGUAAACCGACACAGGUAGUCGAGGAGAGUAUCCUAAGGUGAGCGAGCGAACUCUCGUUAAGGAACUCGGCAAAAUGACCCCGUAACUUCGGGAGAAGGGGUGCUCUUUAGGGUUCACGCCCAGAAGAGCCGCAGUGAAUAGGCCCAAGCGACUGUUUAUCAAAAACACAGGUCUCUGCAAAAUCGUAAGAUGAAGUAUAGGGGCUGACGCCUGCCCGGUGCUGGAAGGUUAAGAGGAUGGGUUAGCUUCGGCGAAGCUCAGAAUUGAAGCCCCAGUAAACGGCGGCCGUAACUAUAACGGUCCUAAGGUAGCGAAAUUCCUUGUCGGGUAAGUUCCGACCCGCACGAAAGGCGUAACGAUUUGGGCACUGUCUCAACGAGAGACUCGGUGAAAUCAUAGUACCUGUGAAGAUGCAGGUUACCCGCGACAGGACGGAAAGACCCCGUGGAGCUUUACUGUAGCCUGAUAUUGAAAUUCGGCACAGCUUGUACAGGAUAGGUAGGAGCCUUUGAAACGUGAGCGCUAGCUUACGUGGAGGCGUUGGUGGGAUACUACCCUAGCUGUGUUGGCUUUCUAACCCGCACCACUUAUCGUGGUGGGAGACAGUGUCAGGCGGGCAGUUUGACUGGGGCGGUCGCCUCCUAAAAGGUAACGGAGGCGCUCAAAGGUUCCCUCAGAAUGGUUGGAAAUCAUUCAUAGAGUGUAAAGGCAUAAGGGAGCUUGACUGCGAGACCUACAAGUCGAGCAGGGUCGAAAGACGGACUUAGUGAUCCGGUGGUUCCGCAUGGAAGGGCCAUCGCUCAACGGAUAAAAGCUACCCUGGGGAUAACAGGCUUAUCUCCCCCAAGAGUUCACAUCGACGGGGAGGUUUGGCACCUCGAUGUCGGCUCAUCGCAUCCUGGGGCUGUAGUCGGUCCCAAGGGUUGGGCUGUUCGCCCAUUAAAGCGGUACGCGAGCUGGGUUCAGAACGUCGUGAGACAGUUCGGUCCCUAUCCGUCGUGGGCGUAGGAAAUUUGAGAGGAGCUGUCCUUAGUACGAGAGGACCGGGAUGGACAUACCUCUGGUGUACCAGUUGUCGUGCCAACGGCAUAGCUGGGUAGCUAUGUAUGGACGGGAUAAGUGCUGAAAGCAUCUAAGCAUGAAGCCCCCCUCAAGAUGAGAUUUCCCAACUUCGGUUAUAAGAUCCCUCGAAGAUGACGAGGUUAAUAGGUUCGAGGUGGAAGCGUGGUGACACGUGGAGCUGACGAAUACUAAUCGAUCGAAGACUUAAUC
rnacentral:rRNA from 1 species